AGAGUUUGAUCCUGGCUCAGAUUGAACGCUGGCGGCAUGCCUUACACAUGCAAGUCGAAYGGCAGCACGGGAGCAAUCCUGGUGGCGAGUGGCGAACGGGUGAGUAAUGUAUCGGAACGUACCUUUCAGUGGGGGAUAACGUAGCGAAAGUUACGCUAAUACCGCAUAUUCUGUGAGCAGGAAAGCAGGGGAUCGCAAGACCUUGCGCUGAUUGAGCGGCCGAUAUCAGAUUAGCUAGUUGGUGAGGUAAAGGCUCACCAAGGCGACGAUCUGUAGCGGGUCUGAGAGGAUGAUCCGCCACACUGGAACUGAGACACGGUCCAGACUCCUACGGGAGGCAGCAGUGGGGAAUUUUGGACAAUGGGGGCAACCCUGAUCCAGCCAUGCCGCGUGAGUGAAGAAGGCCUUCGGGUUGUAAAGCUCUUUCAGCCGGGAAGAAAUCACAUGGAUUAAUACCCUGUGUGGAUGACGGUACCGGAAUAAGAAGCACCGGCUAACUACGUGCCAGCAGCCGCGGUAA
rnacentral:rRNA from 1 species